rnacentral:rRNA from 1 species
AUUGAACGCUGGCGGCAUGCCUUACACAUGCAAGUCGAACGACAGCACGGGGCAACCUGGUGGCGAGUGGCGAACGGGUGAGUAAUGCAUCGGAACGUACCUUUCAGUGGGGGAUAACGUAGCGAAAGUUACGCUAAUACCGCAUAUUCUGUGAGCAGGAAAGCAGGGGAUCGCAAGACCUUGCGCUGAUUGAGCGGCCGAUGUCAGAUUAGCUAGUUGGUGAGGUAAAGGCUCACCAAGGCGACGAUCUGUAGCGGGUCUGAGAGGAUGAUCCGCCACACUGGAACUGAAACACGGUCCAGACUCCUACGGGAGGCAGCAGUGGGGAAUUUUGGACAAUGGGGGCAACCCUGAUCCAGCCAUGCCGCGUGAGUGAAGAAGGCCUUCGGGUUGUAAAGCUCUUUCAGCCGGGAAGAAAUCGCACGGGCUAAUACCCUGUGUGGAUGACGGUACCGGAAUAAGAAGCACCGGCUAACUACGUGCCAGCCGCCGCUGUAAGAC